GUGAGUCGACCUCUAUUGCCGUGCAAGCUAAAGAUACAGAACUGUCAAUUUCUGUUCUGUGCCAUAUGAGCUGAACCCAUGAGUCAACCCCUGUACAUGAGUCGACCCCAUGAGUCGAUCUCUGUGCAUGAGUCGACCCUAUGAGUCGAUCCCUAUGACGGAAAAAUAUCGUAAUGGCUAGUUUUUAGCUCGUUUUGGCUACAUUUAAUGCCCAUUUAAUGUGCUCUAACGACUCUAUUUCAG
rnacentral:lncRNA from 1 species